rnacentral:lncRNA from 1 species
ACAAAUGACUCCCUAUUAAUGAGUCCGAGGAUCAUCGCCUCGGUGUCUGCGGUGCAUCCUGGAGUCCUGACUAACCUCCAGCUACUGCAUAAAUCACUCCCGUGCGGGGAGAUUGCAGCCGGAUAGAGCGUUUGGUCGCAUUUUAACACCAUGCACUGAAUUAAAGGAAGGUGUUCUCCCUCCCUCCCUCCCUCCCUUCCUUCUUUCCUUCCUCUCUUCUUUUCUCUCUCUCUUCGCCGGAUGGAGCGUUUGGUUGCGUUUUAACACCAUACACUAAAUUAAAGGAAUUCUUUUUUCUUUCUUUUCUGUUCUUUCUUUUCUUUCUUCUUUCUCUUCUUUCUGUCUCUUUCUUCCCCUUCCCUCCCUCCCUCCCUUCCUUCCUUCUUUCCUUCCUUCCUCCCUCCCUUCCUUCCUUCCUCCCUCCCUUCCUUCAUCCUUUUCUUUAUGUUUUGACAGGGUCUCACUCUGUCACCUAGGCUGGAUGGAGUGCAGUUGCACAAACACGGUUCACUGCAGCCUCGACCUCCCAAGUAGUUGGGAAUACAGGCGCGCGUUACCACACCCAGCUAAUUUUUAAUUUGUUUAUAGAGGUGGGGGAAUCUCCCUAUGCUGUCCAGGCUGGUCUCGAACUCCCGGACUCAAGGGAUCCUCCCGCCUCCGCCUCCCAAAGUGCUGGGAUUACAGGCGUGAGCCACCGCGCCCGGCCUACAAUUUUUUUUAAUGAAAAAAAGAAAAAUGUAAGAGUAUGGGAAUAUAUGGGGAAAAGAAAGAUCAGAUUGUUACUGUGUCUGUGUAGAAAGAAGUAGACAUAAGAGACUCCAUUUUGUUCUGUGCUAAGAAAAAUUCUUCUGCCUUGAGAUGCUGUUAAUCUGUAACCCUACCACCAACCCUGUGCUUCCUGAGACCUGUGCUGUGUCAACUGAGGGUUAAAUGGAUUAAGGGCUGUGCAGGAUGUGCUUUGUUAAACAAAUGCUUGAAGGCAGCAUGCGCCUUAAGAAUCAUCACCACUCCCUAAUCUCAAGUACCCAGAGACACAAUACACUGCAGAAGGCCGCAGGGACCUCUUCCUAGGAAAGCCAGGUAUUGUCCAAGGUUUCUCCUCAUGUGAUAGUCUGAAAUAUGGCCUCGUGGGAAGGGAAAGACCUGACCAUUCCACAGCCCGACACCUGUAAAGGGUCUGUGCUCAGGAGGAUUAGUAAAAGAGGAAGGAACACCUCUGUGCAGUUGAGAUAAGAGGAAGGCAUCUGUCUCCUGCUCGUCCCUGGGCAAUGGAAUGUCUCGGUGUAAAGCCCGAUUGUAUAUUCCAUCUACUGAGAUAGGGGAAAACCGCCUUAGGGCUGGAGGUGGGACAUACUGGCAGCAAUACUGCUCUUUAAGGCAUUGAGAUGUUUAUGUAUAUGCACAUCAAAAGCACAGCACUUUUUUCUUUACCAUGUUUAUGAUGCAGAGACAUUUGUUCACAUGUUUUCCUGCUGACCUUCUCUCUACUAUUAUACCC